CAGUAGCCACGGGAAUACGAAGGGGGCUAGCGUUGCUCGGAUUUACUGGGCGUAAAGGGCGCGUAGGCGGACUGAUAAGUCAGGGGUGAAAUCCCAAGGCUCAACCUUGGAACUGCCUUUGAUACUGUUUGUCUUGAGUUCGAGAGAGGUAAGUGGAACUGCGAGUGUAGAGGUGAAAUUCGUAGAUAUUCGCAAGAACACCAGUGGCGAAGGCGACUCUCUGGUCUGUAACUGACGCUGAGGAGCGAAAGCGUGGGGAGCGAACAGGAUUAGAUACCCGGGUAGUCCCUGUCUCUUAUAC
rnacentral:rRNA from 1 species